UUUGACCUCGGAUCAGGUAGGGAUACCCGCUGAACUUAAGCAUAUCA
rnacentral:rRNA from 17 species